AAAAUCCUUUAAAAUCCCAAUCCAAUACACCCCUCUAAAUCCUAAAUUAUAGCAAUCAUGUUAGUGGCACGCGGGUAAAGAAAAUUCGAAUUUUUGUUUGCUCUCCUCACACCGUAGAACCGUGAUCUGCUUUUCCCACCGCAUCAUUUUCCUUCUUCUCCGACCUGCGUUGUCGACGGACCCGACCCGGUAGUUAACCUCCUACAGAUAUGGCAGCGUUCUUUUUUCUCCUCUCUUUUCCAAACGUGCUUACUUCUCGGAUUAAACUACUCUCAUCACACCAUCAUUCUGUUUAGACACCGAUCCAUUGUCGAAGAUACUAAGCGCCAGAUUACCAAAUCCCGGUUCUGGUGAUCAUAUCUGUUUUACAAGCACACAACUUAAACACAAUAAUCAUCUUUGACAUAUCCUGAUAUUCAAGUUUUUGCACAACCUUGAAACUGGGAAAAAGAGAAGAUAUAAUAAAUUUGUGACAUUCUAAAAAACGAUGAAGGGGAUUGGGUCAUGGACGUGUGUUGAUGCUAAGGAUGCCGAAAAACAAGUCAGCAUAAAAAACGAUGAAGGGGAUCAGGUUUGACCGGGAACUCAAUGUUUUCAUUAAUAAAACUUUAUGUUCGGAAUCCUCUUCAGACUCCCAGUACGAAACCAAGUGGGCACUUCUACUGUAUGCGCGCGACAGCUCUCGACAAUCUUUUGGGAUUGAGAUCUUUUAAAUUAUCAGAUAUAGGAUGGGAAGAUCUUUCAAAGUAUAAGUAUACACAUUAUCAAACUCAAACUAUCCACGCAUCUUGGAAAGUUUAGCAUUAACAAGAAGAAAAGGUGAGCGACGCUAUAUUAGUGUUAUUGUGCCAGAGCACAACCAGGUGGAUCAUUGUGUCUUGACAUAUAAGGCAGUGCUGGCAUGUGAAAGUUUGAUUCCUAACUUUCAAAAUUAAUUUCUACUUAUUAUAGUUCAUUCAUUGAAGCUUGCUUGAAGUAAGUAUUUGACCCCUUAUUAUAAUAUAAGCAAUCUUUUUGA